GCAGGGCACAGUGGUGCAUGCCUAUAAUCCCAGCUGCUCAGGAGGCUGAGGCAGGAGGAUUGUGGGUUCAAAGCCAGCCUCAGCAACAUGGUGAGGCCUUAAGCAACUCAGUGAGAUCCUGUCUCUA
rnacentral:sRNA from 1 species